UUUAAUUAAUACUUAAAUUUAAUGAUUGUACUAGAAGAAUAAGUACCGGCUAAUUACGUGCCAGCAGCCGCGGUAAUACGUAAGGUGCUAGCGUUAAUCGGAUUUAUUGGGCGUAAAGUGUGAUUAGGUGGUUUGAAAAGAUUUUUGUAAAAUACUUAAGCUCAACUUAAGAUAUGCAUAAAUAACUUUCUUACUAGAGUUAAAUAUAGGUUGAUAGAAUUCUAUAUGUAGCGGUGAAAUGCGUAGAUAUUUAGAGGAAUACCGAUGGCGAAAGCAAUCAACUGAUUUUAUACUGACACUGAUUCACGAAAGCGUGGGUAGCAAACAGGAUUAGAUACCCUGGUAGUCCACGCCCUAAACGAUGUCAACUAAUUAUUAGAUAUUUUAAUUUAGUAAUGUAGCUAACGCGUUAAGUUGACCGCCUGGGGAUUACGAUCGCAAGAUUAAAACUCAAAGGAAUUGACGGGGAUCAGUACAAGCGGUGGAUGAUGUGGAUUAAUUCGAUGCUACACGAAAAACCUUACCUACUCUUGACAUGAUCGAAAUUUUAUUGAGAAAUAAAAGUGCCUGUAAAGGAAUCGAUACACAGGUGCUGCAUGGCUGUCGUCAGCUCGUGUCGUGAGAUGUUGGGUUAAGUCCCGCAACGAGCGCAACCCUUGUUUCUAGUUGCUAAGUAUUUUUAUACAGAACUUUAGAAAGACCGCUAAUGACAAGUUAGAGGAAGGAAAGGAUGACUUCAAGUCCUCAUGGCCCUUAUGGGUAGGGCUUCACACGUCAUACAAUGGUUGGUACAAAAAGUUGCGAAAUCGCGAGAUUAAGCUAAUCUUUAAAACCAAUCUCAGUCCGGAUUGUACUCUGCAACUCGAGUACAUGAAGUAGGAAUCGCUAGUAAUCGCGGAUCAGCAUGUCGCGGUGAAUAAGUCAAC
rnacentral:rRNA from 1 species